UGGCGCCGGUCAGCCCGGCGCUGAUUGCGCCAAACAAGGCGAGGCCGGCGAGGGCGGCGAUCAAUUCUUUC
rnacentral:sRNA from 1 species